AUGUCUCUAAAGUUCAGGUCUCUCAGCUCUUGUGUGAUUUUUAAACCUUCCCAGGUUAUCCAGAUCAUGGUGGCUAGGUUCUACUUGGGACUUGGUCCCAGACAAAUAUUUAACUUUCCUGUGGACUCUACUGAUAUGGGGGCUACAUUUUGGCUGGGUGUUGUGUACCUCACAGCUGGUGUCCUGGUUGUGGUUGCAGGCCUGUCUCUCUCUGUUUGGCUGAUGCGUGUCGCUGUGUCUGUCAACUUAUUUGGUUUAAUUGUCACCAUUGCUAGUAUUGUGCUGUAUGGCAUAGACCUGGGAGCCGUUUCUGUUGUUUGGAUGUGUCACAGCUACAGAGAAGACAAGAAUAACUGUUUAAAAGUGGUGUCCAUUGCUCAGGUAAGUGUUUAUUUUGUUGAUUUAACAAAAUUGUUUCUGUGCUCUUUCAUUAAGCAAAGAUCAAUAAAAGAGAGAGGAGAGGAGAGGAGAGGGGAGGGGAGGAGAGGAGAGGAGAGGAGAAGAGAGGGGAGGGGAGGGGAGGGGAGGAGAGGAGAGGAGAGGAGACGAGACGAGGGAAGGAAGGAAGGAAGGGAGAGGGGACGAGAGGAGGGGAUGGGAGAGGAGAGGGGAGGGGAGGGGAGGGGGGAGAGGAGACGAGACGAGGGAAGGAAGGAAGGAAGGAAGGGAGAGGAGAGGAGAGGAGAGGGGAGAGGAGAGGAGAGGAGAGGAGAGGAGAGGAGAGGAGAGGGGAGGAGGGGAUGGGAGAGGAGGGGGGGAGGGGAGAGGAGACGAGACGAGGGAAGGAAGGAAGGAAGGGAGAGGGGAGGAGGGGAUGGGAGAGGAGAGGGGGGGGAGGGGGAGAGGAGAGGAGACGAGGGAAGGAAGGAAGGAAGGAAGGGAGAGGAGAGGAGAGGAGAGGAGAGGAGAGGAGAGGAGAGGAGAGGAGAGGAGAGGAGAGGCAUAAUCCUUAUAUCAAAGGAAGGAACUUACUUUACUAAGCUUUCUUGCUGCCAUCCUUUUCUAUUAGCACAAACAGGAAGUAAACAGCUCUGGUCAUGUAAUAAUGUACAGUAAACAUGCAAGACUGCACAUAUUUUAUUGAGACCCCCCUAUUAUAUCUGCUGGAAAUGCAUUGAUAAAUCAUUCAGUAACAUUUUUAUAGUCUUAGAAAUGAAACUGCUGUGUGAAACAUAAAUGGGACAGCAGAAUGGAAUCAGAACUUGGGAGACAAUUAUAGGAGGAAAGACGUCUGACAUCUCUUCAAUCUUCUCUCCUGUUUUAGAGUCUGUUGACAGCCACAUACAUCACUAUGACUGUCCUGGCUGCUCUGCAGUUAUGCGUAUGCAUCACUUUAGUAGUUCUGGGCAUCAAAAUGUUCAACGGGACUGAACAGGUAGGAACACGUGUCUCUGGAUCCUGUCUUAUAGGAAUGAAUGAAACAUUCCACUGUAGACUCAACUACUGCUGUCUGUCCUGUUGCCAGGGGGACAAAAGUGCUCCGUUGCUGCCCACGGAAGACCUCAGCUAUGAUGUGAUGUGAAAAUCUAUCUAUCUAUCUAUCUAUCUAUCUAUCUAUCUAUCUAUCUAUCUAUCUAUCUAUCUAUCUAUCUAUCUAUCUAUCUAUCUAUCUAUCUAUCUAUCUAUCUAUCUAUCUAUCUAUCUAUCUAUCCAGCCAUCCAUCCAUCCGGGUACUUUGCAACGUCUUCCUGACAUCAAUGUGUGGUGUCCCGUCUUUGCCGCUAGGUGGCGUCCAGCCUCCAAAUAACGUCUCCAACGUUGUCGCAAAAAUAUCGAAUGCAGUAAAGCAUUGCACAUGAAAUAUGAAAAGUUUCUAACUUUCAAACACAUCUUAAUUGGGAAGUGCAUUUUUGUGCAGUCCUUUUCGAAGUCUUCUCAGUUUCAGUCGUAUUCUUUAUUGUUCAGGGGAUUUUUUAUACCUGUUAAAUACCUGUGUUGGUGAUGAAAUCUGUUCUUAAUAAAACCACUGAAAGAAAAACAGGGGUCUCAACGGUGCAUGUUCAGUCAUGAGUUUCUGUUUCCACAGCUUCAGUUGGUACCACAAGAGGGUGUUUUUUAUGCUAAUCAUGCUGUGAUAAAAUUGUUGCAAGGAAACUGCAUGAAAGUUGUAAUGACUGUACACUGUCAGGUUUUUAAUCACAGCUCAAUUCACUUUUUUUCUUCUUUUUUGCAGCUUUAAUGUAU
ensembl:lncRNA